UCAGUUCUCAGCGCUCAAAUACACACACAGCAGUCCCGUGUCUAUCGUGUAGUAGAGUCAGAGUAUCUCACAUAAAUACAGUCAGUUAUGGCUUAAGUGAGCGUAAACAGGUGGAUGAAAACUGAAUGUGUGUCAGUAUUACAUGCAUGCCUUCCGUCUUAAAGGGACAGCAUUCCUAAUUAUCCGUGUCAUAAAUGUUAACCAACAAAAGAUGUCAAAUAAAUGUAUACUUAAGUAAAGCUACUGUAUCUGAAAAAUUAGUUUAAUUUGUAUCUCUACCAAAAAAUGAAAAUGUAUUCCAGUUUUUCCAAAAGCUUGAUUCAAAUUUCUCAUAAGCUUAAUUGAUUUGGUCUAAAGAGAGAAGAAUUGAUGCCUAUUUUGUUUGAAUACUACAUAUAAAAUAGCUACCAAAAUAAAUGUUGUUAACUGCACUUUGACUAAAAGUAAAGACUAAAAGUUGACAAAAAUACAAUGACUUUUCGUCGACUAAAACUAGACUAAAACUAUGAAAUACUCAAAUGACUAAAAUGUGACUAAGACUAUUAAGCAUUUUCGUCUCAAGACUAAGACUAAGACUAAAUCAAAAAUGCCUGCCAAAAUUAACACUGCGCCAGACAUUACAGGUUUUCUGGUACGCAAAACAAGUACUUUAAAGGAAUUCCUUAGCUUUUUGCCAUUACUGUGGCAGCCAACAACAACACAGCUUAACACUCCGCACAUAUUUAUAUUUAGGUAUAUUGAAAAAGUUUCAAUUCAAUCUCUUUUUUACCCCGUUUCAACAUGGAUAUCUAUGAUGGGUCGUUCUUGAACGAUUCGUUCUUUUUGAACGAAUCUUUAAUGUGACUCGGGAAGAACGAGUCGUCUCGGAGAGUGAUUCGUUCAGUCGCGCAUGCGCAACAUCCUAUAGGUUCUGCACUGAAUUUGUUCACCUGUUUCGAGUCUUCGGGUUUGAGUCGUCGUUCAUCACGUGACAGCCCCAUACCCGUAACCUAUGCAGUGAGAGCCGGAAAGAGAAUUGAUUAGUUUGUAUCCCGAGUCUUCGGGUUUGAGUCGUUCGUUCAUCACGUGACAGCCCCAUACCCGUAACCUAUGCAGUGAGAGCCGGAAAGAGAAUUGAUUAGUUUGUAUCCCGAGUCUUGGGGUUUGAGUCGUUCGUUCAUCACGUGACAGCCUCAUAAGCUAACCUAUGCAGUCAGAGCUGGAAAGAGAAUUGAUUAGUUCGUAUCCCGCUGAUGCCUUGAUUUUGAAAUUUGAAAAAGGAGAAAAAAAGUUUGUCAAAAGGCAGAUUCGAACCCCGGUCGAUCGUGUCAAAAGGAGUGUGACACACGCUUUACCAUCUGCUCAAAAUGAGGCGGAGGUGGAACCAUCCUGAUCACGUGCACACAAUGUACCCACCCUUUAACUGACUGAAACAAACACUUUUUACCCACGAUGUAUUUUAGGUGUUAUAAUAAUUUUAUUAUUGAAAAAAAUGGCAAUUCUAAAGUUACAUUUUACAAAAACAAAUUAAAUUAAAUACAACAACAAAUAUUUGAUACUAAAAGCCUUUUUGUAGUAUAGGUGAACAUAAACAUAACAUUAGGUCGUUAAACACUUUGUGAUAUUGAAAAUCUUUAUCCACUCCUUAUAGUCUUUAUAAAGUCCUUAUAAUCCACAGCCAUAUCACCCUGCAGCCCAAGACUGGUUGCCCACUGAAGCUAAGCAGGGCUGAGCCUGGUCAGUACCUGGAUGGGAGACCUGGGAAAACUAGGUUGCUGCUGGUAGAGGUGUUAAUGAGGCCAGCAGGGGGUGCUCACCCUGUGGUCUGUGUGGGUCCUAACGCCCCAGUACAGUGACGGGGACACUAUACUGUAAAAAAGCACCGUCUUUCAGAUGAGACGUUAAACCGAGGUCCUGACUCUCUGUGGUCAUUAAAAAUCCCAUGACACUCAUUGUAAAGAGUAGGGGUGUAACCCCGGUGUCAUGGCCAGAUUCCCUCCUCUGGCCCCUGUCUAUCAUGGCCUCCUAAUAAUCCCCAUCCACUUGAUUGGCUCUAUCUCUCUCUCCUCUCCACCUGUAGCUGGUGUGUGGUGAGCGCACUGGUGCCGUUGUCCUGUGGCUGCCGUCGCAUCAUCCAAGUGGAUGCUGCACACUGGUGGUGGUUGAGGAGAGACCCCCCACAUGAUUGUAAAGCGCUUUGGGUGUAUUGCAAUACACAAUAAAGCGCUAUAUAAAUGCAUCAUUCAUUCAUAGUCUCCUGGUCCACAUCACUUUGAUCCAAUAUACAUUUAUUCACGUAAAGUGUCUUUCUAGAAAACAAAACAUUUUCUCACAACCUUACGUGAAUUAUUCUGGUAGAGUACAUCGUGAAAUGCAAUCGCUGCAGGGUAAAAGGUGCAUUACAGCUAACAUUAGCAUCAAGCUAAAGCUUUUUAUAAAAUUAAUAGUAAGCUUUUACUCUAAUCUCACUUCAAACCAGCAUCGAGUGUUUGUAAUAACUUAUGAUUGCGAUCUAAUGUGGAUUUUGGUCAUAUAAUGUUGUUGAAGUAAAAUACCCCAAAUCUAAUGAAAAUAACAUACAAACCAUAUACUAUCAUAAUCGUGUGUUAAAUAUAGGACCCUAUGAAAUUAGUUUUGUCUUUUUCCAAAUUCCAUUUUUUUCCUUUCUAAUUUUUAUGGAAUCCUUUUUAAUGGUUAAAUUACAUGUAUUAAUCAAAAAGCAUGUCUAAUUAAUUAAAAUCAUGAAACUUAUAAACUUCACAUUAGUUUAUUAAAAGUUUAACAAAAAAUUACAUGUUUCAGGCCCUAUGAAAUGUUUUAUUUUCUUUCACCAUAUGUUUUAUUGUUACCAAAUUCUGUGUUGUAGCAUGUCUAAUUAUUUGAAUGCAUAAAAACAACUUAAUUUAUUCAAAUUGAUUCUUAAAAUAACCUUAUGAAAUGUCUUCUUUUUCCUCAGAAAUUAUGUGUUGUGUAUCUAGUUAUCAAAUGAAGGCAUAAAACAUUAAUUUCAUUUAUCUUUAAAUGAUUGAAAAUCAAACUUUAUUUAUUUAUUUUGGCAAACAAAGGGGAUUUAACAUUAAAAUUAAAACAUGGAAGAAAUGUUGUUUGAUCAUUACUUUACUUUAAAAACAUUUUAGUUUUAAUAAUUUUUAAACGGAACUUUUAUGAAAUGGUAAAAUACUCAUGAAGUGACUCUCAGAGCUGUUCUGGAGAUGUUCAUGUAUUUAUGUCCUCAUUUAGAGAGACGACAGACACUGAAAUCACCGCAAGCAUCACACGCUCUACAAUAUGUGUGUAGUAAACAAAACCACGGGUCUCCAUCCAUUAAUUGAUUAAUUAAUUCAUACAGAGAUGAUCGCGCAAAUGCUCAUCAGAUCGCUUAAAUCAGUGGAAAAUGAAUAGAAAUGAUGAUUCUGUGUAAAGAAAUAUCAAGUAAGCUUGUAUAAAAAUAUCAGUAUUUUUCUAAACAUGAACUAAAAGCUCUAAUGGACGCUGUUCAGUUAUGCUUGCACAUGACUGCCUGCCUGCCUGAGUUUUGUCGGCAACCAGAGGCGGCACAAAAUUUGGUGGAGGCGGCUGCCUCAUUAUUCUCUAUGCAGGAAAAACCCUGUAUUUGUGACAAAUAUUAAGUAAUGUGAGAAUAUUGACAUUUAGCAUAUUAAUCCAUGUAUGUAGCCUAGCCUACUGAAAUAGGCUACCACUUUUAAUGCUCCGAUGCAAAGUAAAAAAAAAAAAACAUUUCUGUAAGGUAAUAUAACACAUGAUUCAUAUUAUAGAAAUAAUGCUGCACACCUGUUAAAUGUUUCAAAUCUAAAAUAUGGUGUAAUACUUAGCUUAGCAUAAAUAUAAGCAUAGGCUCAUAGACUUGACAUUUAUCCUGCUUGAAUUUGCUCUAAAUGAGAAGCGCACAUAACUUCAUAAGUACUAAAUUUGCAUCUGUGAAUAUGAAAUAUUUUAACUACAGUGUUUUUCUUUCAUUUUCCGCCGACUGGAGCCUUCAAAUAUAACACAUUGGCGAGGCAAAGUUGAUGGCUGUUUGUGAAAAUGCGCUUUGAAGUGUUUGCUUGAUAACUUGUGGUUAAAGUGCCACUCAGCGGUCAAAAGCUGCAAAUGCAUUUUGCAGACGCGGCAACGGUGGCACCCGCGGCGGUAAAAAGCACACUCUGGUUGACCACCUACACUGUUAGACAUUUCUGUAAUUUCUAGUUAUUUACUCUAUAUCACCCGGUAUAAUACUGCAAAUUCCCUUUACAGUAAAUAACUGUAAUACCCUUUGCAUCAUGGGAAUUUUCUGUGACGUCAAACCCCACAUACAAAGACUUAAUGUAUUUUUUAAAAUUGCUGUAUACUACUGUAUUUGCCGUAACGGCCUCUUUGGCGCCAUUCUAUUGAGGUUGUUUUAUUUUCCUCAUUUCUUACAUUAGGAUUGACACGAUUUGCCCUACACCAUUUCUACAACAGCUUUGGACCGACUAUAUUGGAUGCAUUACUUCGCUUGUAAUGAUUGGAAAAUCCGUUUGUCCUUCAUGUCAGAAACAGCGCGAGCUCUUGGAGUACAUCUGUAUGGCAGAAUUAUACCGGGGCAUCACUUUACUGCCCACAUCCACUGUAGAUAGUAUAACGGGUUCUAUAUUGUCUUUUCGAGUCACGCCGCGCCGCGCCACUCGCGUUCAAGGAAGACACGGAAGCAGCAUAGCAGCGCCGCAGGUUUUGCCCGGGGAUGAACCCGCGAGAGUGGAAGAGCUCCGGAGAACAUCUGCGCUGUGUGUCGAUGCACCUUACGAGAGAAUAAGACCAGCAAGCAAGGCAACUGCAAUGAAGCAUCAAGAAAGACAUGAGCAUGCAGCCACCCUGAGACUGACAAUUCAUGAGAAGACAUUUCUGUCACUAACAAAUUGGAUGUUUUGGAGCAUCAGGGUUUUGCAGAUGGCUAUGUAUUUUUGUGAGGAUAAAUCCAAAGGCUACAACAUAAUGCACUGCAAAGCGUCCUAAGACAGGAGAAAUG